rnacentral:rRNA from 1 species
AACGCUGGCGGCGUGCUUAACACAUGCAAGUCGAACGGUAAGGCCCUUCGGGGUACACGAGUGGCGAACGGGUGAGUAACACGUGGGUAAUCUGCCCUGCACAUCGGGAUAAGCCUGGGAAACUGGGUCUAAUACCGAAUAGGACCACAGAACACAUGUCCUGUGGUGGAAAGCUUUUGCGGUGUGGGAUGGGCCCGCGGCCUAUCAGCUUGUUGGUGGGGUGAUGGCCCACCAAGGCGACGACGGGUAGCCGGCCUGAGAGGGUGUCCGGCCACACUGGGACUGAGAUACGGCCCAGACUCCUACGGGAGGCAGCAGUGGGGAAUAUUGCACAAUGGGCGAAAGCCUGAUGCAGCGACGCCGCGUGGGGGAUGACGGCCUUCGGGUUGUAAACCUCUUUCACCAUCGACGAAGGUCCGGGUUUUCUCGGGCUGACGGUAGGUGGAGAAGAAGCACCGGCCAACUACGUGCCAGCAGCCGCGG